CAUGGGAGAUGUUGAAAAUUUGAUGAUAAGAGCCUUAGAGAAAGUCUCUUUAAAUUGGCAAGAGAUUUAAAUACUAUUUAAAAUCAAAUAGUCUCUUAAUAUAAGCCCUACUUGUAUUAGGAAUCCUUGUAGCCUUAGAUAUUUGACCCCUUUUAGGAGAUCUAUAAGGUGCCAACUAUUAGAGGCUUUUCAUCCACUUUUUUUACAUACUACAUAGGGCUUAGGGGACA
rnacentral:lncRNA from 1 species